rnacentral:rRNA from 1 species
ACGAACGCUGGCGGCGUGCUUCACACAUGCCAGUCGCACGGAAAGGCCCUGCUUUUGUGGGGUGCUCGAGUGGCGAACGGGUGAGUAACACGUGAGUAACCUGCCCUUGACUUUGGGAUAACUUCAGGAAACUGGGGCUAAUACCGGAUAGGAGCUCCUGCUGCAUGGUGGGGGUUGGAAAGUUUCGGCGGUUGGGGAUGGACUCGCGGCUUAUCAGCUUGUUGGUGGGGUAGUGGCUUACCAAGGCUUUGACGGGUAGCCGGCCUGAGAGGGUGACCGGCCACAUUGGGACUGAGAUACGGCCCAGACUCCUACGGGAGGCAGCAGUGGGGAAUAUUGCACCAUGGGCGGAAGCCUGAUGCAGCAACGCCGCGUGCGGGAUGACCGCCUUCGGGUUGUAAACCGCUUUCGCCUGUGACGAAGCGUGAGUGACGGUAAUGGGUAAAGAAGCACCGGCUAACUACGUG